CACACUCGUGUGACUAGUGUGACUUCCCACUUGUGCUGGGCUGUGUGUCUUCCUCGGAGUUGAUGGGCUCCGAGCAGCGGCUCUUAGAUGGCUUAUGCCAGGUAUCAUUCUCUCUAGGUGGCCUUUCUUCCAGCUGGCCUGGCCCCUUGCUCGGUGACUUAGAUUCACGGUCCCGUCUAGUCCUUGUGAUAACUCUGCAAAGGACAGGCUGCCCUUCCCCAUGAUGGAUGAUAGCUCUGAGGCCAAAGGGAGCCUGUGAUUUGCCCAAGGCCACACAGAUACCAAAUGGCUGAGCUGGAUUUGAACCUAGUUCCGGCUAACUGCAAAGCUUGCACUGUCCUCCCCAUCCCCCACCCCCCCGCCCCUGCAACCGGCUGGGCCUUAUUGUCCUAGAGAAUCUACCAUUGCCUUCCAGCCCUGCGGGAUGAGAAUAAAUCCCCUGCGAACUGCCUGCCCUCUGAUCGAGGUUGCCCAUCGCUGACGACGAGGCUUUUGCCUUUUCUUCCAAUUAAAAUAAGAGCUACAGUCUUUGGUGCCUGAUGACCGUAUGAACUGCUACCAUUUACUGCAUACUUAAUAAACUGCACACAGCCA